UACGUAGGGGGCUAGCGUUGUCCGGAUUUAUUGGGCGUAAAGAGCGUGUAGGCGGCUCGAUAAGUCUGCUGUGAAAGUCCAGGGCUCAACCCUGGAAGGCCGGUGGAAACUGUCGGGCUAGAGUCCGGAAGAGGCGAGUGGAAUUCCCGGUGUAGCGGUGAAAUGCGCAGAUAUCGGGAGGAACACCUAUGGCGAAGGCAGCUCGCUGGGACGUUACUGACGCUGAGACGCGAAAGCGUGGGGAGCAAACAGG
rnacentral:rRNA from 1 species